rnacentral:rRNA from 1 species
UACGUAGGGGGCAAGCGUUGUCCGGAAUCAUUGGGCGUAAAGCGCGUGUAGGCGGUUCGGUAAGUCUGCUGUGAAAGUCCAGGGCUCAACCCUGGGAUGCCGGUGGAUACUGUCGGACUAGAGUACGGAAGAGGCGAGUGGAAUUCCCGGUGUAGCGGUGAAAUGCGCAGAUAUCGGGAGGAACACCAAUUGCGAAGGCAGCUCGCUGGAACGGAACUGACGCUGAGGCGCGAAAGCGUGGGGAGCGAACAGG